AUUGAACGCUGGCGGCAGGCCUAACACAUGCAAGUCGAACGAGUGGCGGACGGGUGAGUAAUGUCUGGGAAACUGCCCGAUGGGGGGGGAUAACUACUGGAAACGGUAGAUACUACCGCAUACCAUCGGAUGUGCACAGAUGGGAUUAGCUAGUAGGGGGGGUAACGGCUCACCAAGGCGACGUUCCCUAGCUGGUCUGAGAGGCGGACCAGCUCACCUGGACCUGAGCCACGUGCCAGCCCCCGACGAGAGGCAGCAGGUGGGAAUAUUGCACAAUGGGAGGAAUCCGGAGGCAGCCAUGCCGCGUGUAUUAAGAAGCCCUUCGGGUUGUAAAGUACUUUCAGCGAUGAGGCGUUACUCGCAGAAGAAGCACCGGCUAACUCCGUGCCAGCAGCCGCGGUAAUUC
rnacentral:rRNA from 1 species